AAAAGAAACAUAUUUUGUUUUUCACCUAAAAUUAACCGAUUUUUUUAUAGGAAAUUAAAGAAAAAUAGAGAGGAAAAGGGGAAAGAUUAUGCUUCAUACUUCUUAGAAGGCUUUGUUCCCUCAGGGAAUUACUUGACAGUAAAAUUCUUUCUCGGGGAGCUUACUUUUAUUGGUUAUUUUCUCUUCUCUCUACCCUCUUUUUUCUUUUCGCCUCCUCCUUCCUUCCUUCCAAUGAAUCCUUAGAAGCCGUGAUUCUGACCAACAUCUGACAAGUCAGUAGGAUGAGGACAUUUUCUUCGCACACCUUCUGAUCUCUCUUCCCUCUGCGGACCAGCCCACUCCUUUCUUUCAGGCAUUGACCAAUGGAUAUCAUGAAAGAUUACUGGCCACUGGCUUAUAUUAUAUUGGAUUCUACUAUCCCCAGGAGAAUAUGUUAAAUACAUACUCUUGCCUCUGACAAAAACCAAAGCAUGAUUCUAGUAGACAUGUUUCUAAGUUCUUGCUCGACUCCAGCAGACUCUGCUCCUGCUGUCUGUGGGCCAUCCCUCCCCACCUACCCACCAAAAUGAAUCUUUGAUUGAAUCAGAGGGGAGCACAAAACCAACUCAUGCAUCAUAAGUGAGCAGAGUAAUCAGACUGUCACCCUCACUUCUAUUUUCUCUCUUCUUUCUCGCUCUCUACAAAUCAAGCAAAGGAGAAAGUUGGCCAUUUGCAAUGGGAUUUAAAGCAGAAUGGUGGUGUUCUAUAGCCCAACCCCGCGUCAGAGAACUCCUAACGGAAGGCCCCCCAUCCUCUUCUCCCUCACACACCCACAGCCCCAGCAGCAUCUCAGUCUGUACAGGGUAUCCUGGCAAUGGAGGUGCCAUUCUCAUAUAAAGUUCAUUCCAUGCUGUAUAAACCCUGAUCCGGAUUUUAUGCCCUUUUAAGCAAGGACAGGUCUGAUCUUUGACGAGGUGUGCCACUGGCAGCCUUUCAACACUCUCCCUUCUCCCCCUUUCUCUGUAUUUAGAACAUUCUCCAUCCAGGUUUAUCCAAGGGCUUUGAUCCUGCCUUUUCAAAGUUCUCACCAUAGAAUUCCUCAGAGGAUUCCCAGAAACCAGCAAAGCAAGUUAAUCAACCCAACCCGGGGGGUACUAAUAUAUUCUACCUUAAACCAUAGCUAUAUAACCCUAAGGUUCUCCCUCCACGCCUGAACAAAACAGAAGCCAUAGGAAUAAGAUGGGCUAAGUGGUGGGGAUAGGUCAAAACAAAGCUCAGCGUGGCCACUGAAGACCUUGGAACUUCUAGACAGACGGAGGUCAGUGGUAAGGAAGGCUGUUCGGAGCUCUUGGCUGGCACAUGCUCAAUCAGAAGGAUGUGCAUUGAGCUCCUAAGAAUAGUGGAGCUCUGGAGCAGGUCAAGAGCCAAGACUGUGUAGAAAAGGAGGUCAGAACUGUGUGGGGAAGGUUGAAGGUUCCUGCCCAAGUUAUGGGCUCUUCCAGGCAAUGAUUGAGAGGAGAUGAGGCAAGAAGAGGGAGGCAGUGAAUCAAGAAGCAAAGCUAUGAUCAAGUAGUGCACCCGCUACAGGUAGUGAUUUAAACAUAGUCUGCCAGGGUUGGAAGGGCUUUAGAAAUCAUGUUUAAAUUACUUCCCUUUUAGAUGAAGACUUGAACAGUAUGUAGACACAGGGGUGGUAAGUGACAGAACAAGAACACCUGGAACUUCUUUCUCACUUUUAGAUUUACCUGUAAAAUCUAUGCCUAAGUGAGGACUUGUUCAUAGUAUUUUUAAUAUUUUUAAUCAGAAAACAUUUAGAUGAAAACAAAAUGUUAUGAUCUUAAUAUUUUGACUCUAAGCACAUUUUUAAAGUGGUCACCAGAAAAAAAAAUUAAAGUCAAACUUAGAAUAGCUGAAAUUAUAUAAGCUUGGUAUUGACCAAAAAAAAAAACUGAUUUGAAGAAUCCUAUUAUGUUGAUAAUCCUCAAAAUUUUGUAAAAUUUGUAAAAAUAACAAACUGAAACUAACCAAGGCAAAAAUUGCACACACAGAAAAAACUUGUUAUUGAGCUUAAAAACUAUUAAACCUUCUUCUCAAAUUAUACCUUGCAGGACCUGACUCAGGAAAAUUAGACUUGGUAAACAAAUGACCAUGAAAGAAAAUCCAAUGUUGACAGAGCUAAAGUUGAGAAAAGUUAAUAUGGACAAAACGUGGUCAUUGAAUAAAACCUGAAUUACUACAGUAAAAUAAAAAUACUCAAAAUUAUUUAAACGCACAGUAGAAAUGUGCUUAAAGAAUUAACUCAAAAGAAUCAUUUACAGAAAAUAAUUUCUUGAUGAUAUUCUCAACAAUGUUAGAAUAAUUCUGAUGAAGAUGUUUGUUUUCAUUCAAUAAAAAUGUCCACAGGGUAAAAACAACAAAGAAGGAAAUAGCCCACGUUAGAUUUCUCAGGCAGCCCCAACUCCUGGGCUUCAAGUUUUAACCCUUCACCAUGUGAGAGGUGAUCUAGAAACUCCUUCUAGGGACCUAACGACUUGCCUACACCAAAAUUAGAUGUACUUAAUUAAUGACCUCAGCUGGUUGCUAAAAACCAAAGUUUACCAGAAGACCUGAAAGCUCAGAGAUCCCCUUCCCACUUCAAGGGGAACUGGCACUUUAAAAUCAACCUACAUGCCACCUCACACCCAUCAGAAAAAUAAGCACUGCUGGGCAGUGG
rnacentral:lncRNA from 1 species